rnacentral:rRNA from 1 species
AACGAACGCUGGCGGCAUGCCUAACACAUGCAAGUCGAACGAUGCCUUCGGGCAUAGUGGCGCACGGGUGCGUAACGCGUGGGAAUCUGCCCUUUGGUUCGGGAUAACUGAUGGAAACGACAGCUAAUACCGGAUGAUGACGUAAGUCCAAAGAUUUAUCGCCAGAGGAUGAGCCCGCGUCGGAUUAGCUAGUUGGUGGGGUAAAGGCCUACCAAGGCGACGAUCCGUAGCUGGUCUGAGAGGAUGAUCAGCCAAACUGGGACUGAGACACGGCCCAGACUCCGACGGGAGGCAGCAGUGGGGAAUAUUGGACAAUGGGCGAAAGCCUGAUCCAGCAAUGCCGCGUGAGUGAGGAAGGCCUUAGGGUUGUAAAGCUCUAUUACCCGGGAUGAUAAUGACAGUACCGGGAGAAUAAGCCCCGGCUAACUCCGUGCCAGCCGCCGCAGUAAUAC